UACGUAGGGACCAAGCGUUGUUCGGAUUUACUGGGCGUAAAGGGCGCGUAGGCGGCGUGGUAAGUCACUUGUGAAAUCUCUGAGCUUAACUCAGAACGGCCAAGUGACACUGCUGUGCUAGAGUGCAGAAGGGGCAAUCGGAAUUCUUGGUGUAGCGGUGAAAUGCGUAGAUAUCAAGAGGAACACCUGAGGUGAAGACGGGUUGCUGGGCUGACACUGACGCUGAGGCGCGAAAGCCAGGGGAGCAAACGGG
rnacentral:rRNA from 1 species